rnacentral:rRNA from 1 species
UACAGAGGGGGCAAGCGUUAUUCGGAAUUAUUGGGCGUAAAGGGCGCGUAGGCGGCAUGGCAAGUGGAAGGUGAAAUCCCUCGGCUCAACUGAGGAACUGCCCUCCAAACUGCUUUGCUUGAGUCCGGGAGAGGUGAGUGGAAUUCCCAGUGUAGCGGUGAAAUGCGUAGAUAUUGGGAGGAACACCGGUGGCGAAGGCGGCAUCCUGGACCGAGAUUGACGCUGAUGCGCGAAAGCCAGGGGAGCAAACGGG